GGCGAACGCUGGCGGCGUGCUUAACACAUGCAAGUCGAACGGAAAGGCCCUGCUUUUGUGGGGUGCUCAAGUGGCGAACGGGUGAGUAACACGUGAGUAACCUGCCCUUGACUUUGGGAUAACUUCAGGAAACUGGGGCUAAUACCGGAUAGGAACUCCUGCUCCAUGAUGGGUGCUGGCAAGUGUCGGCGGUUGGGCUGGGGCCCGCGGCUUGUCAACCAGUUGGUGGGGAGGCGGCUUUCCAAGGUUUUGACGGGCAGCCGGCCGUAGAGGGUGACCGGGCAGACUGGGAAUGAGCAACGGACAAGACUGCUGCGGGAGCCAGAAGUGGAGAAUAUUGCACCAGGGGCGGAGGCCGGAUGCAGCAACGCCGCGUGCGGGAUGACGGCCUUCUGGUUGUAGGCCGAUUGCGCCUGUGACGAAGCGUGAGUGACGUGAAUGGGUAAAGGAGCAACUGCUAGCCACGUG
rnacentral:rRNA from 1 species